AGAACGAACGCUGGCGGCAGGCUUAACACAUGCAAGUCGAACGCUCCGCAAGGAGAGUGGCAGACGGGUGAGUAACGCGUGGGAACCUUCCUAUUGGUUCGGAAUAGCUCAGGGAAACUUGAGGUAAUACCGGAUACGCCCUAUGGGGGAAAGAUUCAUCGCCAAUAGAUGGGCCCGCGUCUGAUUAGCUAGUUGGUGAGGUAAUGGCUCACCAAGGCGACGAUCAGUAGCUGGUUUGAGAGAAUGACCAGCCACACUGGGACUGAGACACGGCCCAGACUCCUACGGGAGGCAGCAGUGGGGAAUCUUGGACAAUGGGCGCAAGCCUGAUCCAGCCAUGCCGCGUGAGUGACGAGGGCCUUAGGGUUGUAAAGCUCUUUUAGCAGGGAAGAUAAUGACGGUACCUGCAGAAUAAGCCCGGCUAACUUCGUGCCAGCAGCCGC
rnacentral:rRNA from 1 species